rnacentral:tRNA from 4 species
GGGGAUAUGGUGUAGGGGAAUCACGUUCGCUUUGCAUGCGAAAGGUCGGGGGUUCAAAUCCCUCUGUCUCCA